rnacentral:rRNA from 1 species
UACGAAAGGGGCUAGCGUUGUUCGGAAUUACUGGGCGUAAAGCGCACGUAGGCGGCUUGGUAAGUCGGGGGUGAAAUCCCGGAGCUCAACUCCGGAACUGCCUUCGAAACUGCUAGGCUAGAGGAUGCGAGAGGUUGGCGGAAUUCCGAGUGUAGAGGUGAAAUUCGUAGAUAUUCGGAAGAACACCAGUGGCGAAGGCGGCCAACUGGCGCAUUUCUGACGCUGAGGUGCGAAAGCGUGGGGAGCAAACAGG